CUUGUAUACACCGCCCGUCACACCAUGGGAGUUGGUUGCACCAGAAGUAGGUAGCCUAACCGCAAGGGGGGCGCUUACCACGGUGUGGUCAAUGACUGGGGUG
rnacentral:rRNA from 1 species